rnacentral:lncRNA from 1 species
CCCAUCCCUGGAAGAUCCCACGGGAGCCCAUACCUGGGAGACCUCAGGGGAGUCCAUCCCUGGAAGACCUCAGGGGAGUCCAUCCUUGGGAGACCCCAGGAGCCCUCAAGCAGUGAUUUCAGAGUCAUCUCUUCUUCCUUGCAGCCUGGCUGUCCUGCCUGGAACCUCUGAGACUGUUCUGCUCCUCACACCCUCUCAGAAGCAUCCCAGCAAGCCCUGUGGGAUUCAGUGUGGGUCUCUUGAGAGUGGAAACACCCUCUACCUAUGUGUCACUGUGCCUCUCUUCCUGACACCACCCCCACUGGGAUCCACGAGAGAGGAGCAGAAGAACGGACCUCAGGCUGGGAGGCCAGGGCCGGUGUCUCUAAGGAGGGGGUGUUUUUGCCGAAGGACCUGAAAGACCAGAAGGGGUCGACCAUAUAACUGAGCACAUGGGGUUUCACAUGGGGAGAAGAAUAAGGGCGAAGUCUUGAGGUGUGGUUGUUUCUGGGCAUAAAGAGGAGACCAGUAGGGCUGUUGAGAAGUGUAGA